AUUGAACGCUGGCGGCAUGCCUUACACAUGCAAGUCGAACGGCAGCACGGGAGCAAUCCUGGUGGCGAGUGGCGAACGGGUGAGUAAAGUAUCGGAACGUGCCCAGUCGUGGGGGAUAACGUAGCGAAAGUUACGCUAAUACCGCAUACGAUCUAUGGAUGAAAGCGGGGGAUCGCAAGACCUCGCGCGAUUGGAGCGGCCGAUAUCAGAUUAGGUAGUUGGUGGGGUAAAGGCUCACCAAGCCGACGAUCUGUAGCUGGUCUGAGAGGACGACCAGCCACACUGGGACUGAGACACGGCCCAGACUCCUACGGGAGGCAGCAGUGGGGAACUUUGGACAAUGGGCGAAAGCCUGAUCCAGCCAUGCCGCGUGCAGGAUGAAGGCCUUCGGGUUGUAAACUGCUUUUGUACGGAACGAAAAGGUUUGGGCUAAUAAGCUGAGCUCAUGACGGUACCGUAAGAAUAAGCACCGGCUAACUACGUGCCAGCAGCCGCAGUAA
rnacentral:rRNA from 1 species